UUUUUUGUUUUGUUUUUUUGUUGUUGUUGUUGUUUUUGAGAUGGAGUCUCACUCUGUCGCCCAGGCUGGACGGGCAGAUCACUUAAGCCCAGGAGUUUGAGACCAGACUGGGCAACACUGUCUGUCUCUACUAAAAAUACAAACAUUAUCUGGGUGUGGUGGCGCAUGCCUAUAGUCCCAGCUACUCGGAGGUGGAUGGAUCACUUGAGCAUGGGAGGCAGAGGUCACAGUGAGCCGAGAUGGCGCCACUGCACUCCAGCCUGGGUAACAGAGUGAGAACCUGUCUCAAAAAAAAAAAAAAAAAAAAAAAAAAGAUACAAAACAAAGUAUAGUACAACAGCUUUUGUUUUAAAAAUGAAAAUGUAUUACUUUGAAACUUUUUGCAAAUUUAAAGAGCAAAGUUAGUUUUUGAAAAUUUAAAGAAAAAGGUGAGUUAAACUCAAGUUACUCACGAUCCUUUCUUUAAAAUUUAAUAUGUAUAUUUUGAACUGGGGGUCUCGGUCAUGUCUUUGUAAAAAUUUUCUUCCUCUAAUUUCAGGUGCUUUGAGAACACUGUGAAGCUGAGUGUAAUGACUCUUGUUCACCACGGAACACGCCGCAUGAAGGUAACAUUGUACCCCUCGCAGCUUCAUUUGUCUACAGGGUUUUUGAAAUGACUGUUUCACAUAAAGGCUUAUCUACAAAAGCAAAAA
rnacentral:lncRNA from 10 species